GAAGAAUACUAAUCAUGUGAGUGACUGCUGUAACAGGCUUCAUUCUGAAGAUGUGCAUUGAUUUAUGCAGUGAAGGCUGCUUAGUCUGAGAUAUUCUUGGACUCCAGAAAGCUAAUGCCUUCAGGUCUGGGAUGCGACCCAGCAGCACAGAUGACAUCACUGUGGUGGCCUUUCAUACAAGGAAGAAAGAUCUCAUGGGAUCUUAGUGAUGUGUGAAGAUGUAGCACCUCCAUAUGUAGUCUUGUUACUCACCCAUUUAGUGCAACAUGGGCUUGUUUUCUCUUGCUUCGAGGCUAGAUAUAGGGCUCAGCACAUGGCAGCUCUCAUCUCUCAGGUCUCCAGCUGGGCAGGAUAUAUUAUAAUUUCUCUCUGGGAUUUGCUGCCUGAGAUCAUGCCAGGUCAUUUUCUACAUGUGAGGAUGUAGUUAUUUAUACGGCCUGAUCCAGUCAUGAAGCCUUUCACCAUUACUGUCAUGAAAACUAGCACGGGUCUGCACACAUUAGCACUAUCAACGCACAGUCAACGGCAGCAGCCUGCAGUUUGGAGCUGGAAUUGGAGUAGCAAGUAUGCAGAGAAUGUCCUAACCCAAGAGUUCAUCGUAU
rnacentral:lncRNA from 1 species